GGCCUGUAUAUAGCAACAUUAUCUUUUUCUUCUGAUUUUUCACAUUGAACCAUGUCCGCGUUUAUGUCUUCUGUGCUGCCACUGGCCAAAGACACUACAUUUUCCGAUCUUUCAUGGAGUAUGGCAUCUUCAACUAUUUCAUCUUGAUGGCCUUGAGGGGCUUUAUCACUAAUCUGCAGUACCUUCGCACGCCGCUGUUUCUUCUGUGAAUCGCCUCGUCUAGAAUCUUGAUCAGGACUGAUGUAAUCCAAGAGAUCUGAUACGCUAAGGUGACCUUUGCUUGCAAUGGAUGCAUCUGGCUUUGGAGUUCCAUUUCG
rnacentral:misc_RNA from 1 species